rnacentral:lncRNA from 10 species
CCUCUAUCUCCCUUCGCUGACUCUCUUUUCGGACUCAGCCUGCCUGCACCCAGGUGAAAUAAACAGCCUUGUUGCUCACACAAAGCCUGUUUGGUGGUCUCUUCAAAUUGACGCGAGUGAAAUUUGGUGCCAUGACUCGGAUCGGGGGACCUCCCUUGGGAGAUCAAUCCCCUGUCCUCCUGCUCUUUGUUCCGUGAGAAAGAUCCACCUACGACCUCUGGUCCUCAGACCAACCAGCCCAGGGAACAUCUCGCCAAUUUUAAAUCAGGUAAGCGGUCUCUUUUUACUCUCUUCUCCAACCUCUCUCACUAUCCCUCAACCUCUUUCUCCUUUCAAUCUUGGCGCCACACUUCAAUCUCUCCCUUCUCUUAAUUUCAGUUCCUUUCCUUUUCUGGCAGAGAUGAAGGAGACACGUUUUAUCCGUGGACCCAAAACUCCGGCACCGGUCACGGACUUGGGAAAACAGUCUUCCCUUGGUGUUUAAUCACACGGGGACACCUGCCUGAUUAUUCACCCACGUUUCAGAGGUGUCUGACCACGCCGGAACGCCUGCCUUGGUCUUUCACCCUUAGCGACUUCGCCAGGUGUGGUCGUAUGCCUAUAGUUCCAGCUUCUUGGGAGGCUGAGGUGGGAGGAUUGCCUGAGCCCAGGAGUUCAAGGCUGCAGUGAGCUGUGAUCACACCACUGCACUCCAGCCCAGGUGACGGAGCAAGAACCUGUCUCUGAAAAGAGAAAAAAACAAAACAAAAUAUUUUUAGCUACUACCCUUUUUUGUCAUCUUAUCUAGUUUAUUGAUAUGAAUAUAUGUUACGUAUGUCAAUGGUUUUGACUAAUACAUACAACUCCGCUUUCUAAUUUUCAUACAACUAUACAUAUUCAUAAACAAUAUUUUCACAUCAUCUUGAAAUUUAGCUACGGUCACUACAAAGAGCUGUAGAUAUGAAAGAGGUGGCUUAACAAACUUUAACAAUGUCUUCAAAACUCUCUCUUCUCCACAAACUGUUCUGUAAUUCUGAUCGUAAGUACAUAUACUAACAGGUGUUUAAAUGAGAGACCAAAAUCCAACCCCAACCUUGUGAGUAAUUUAUUUUGUCUAAAAUAAAUGACACAAAUAUAAAUUGGCAUAAGGUUUUAUAUUAUUUAGGGAUAAUUUAAACAUAGUCUUAAACGUACAUCAUAUAUUAUGAUGCUAAAGUUACGUUGGUAUUUCUCUCCCCAAGAAUAGUUUUGAAAACAUCCCCAGCCAUGAUCAUGCAUCAUAUAAAUAUGUAAAGUUUGUGUAGAUGCCAGGAAAAUAAGUGAAAACCAAGAAUUAUUUUCACCUGUAUCAAAUAAUAUGGUUAUUAGUGAGAAAUCAUAAUGAUGAUUAUUAUUUUCAGAAUGUUUAUCAAAACUUCUCUGCUUUUGUCCCCAGAAAAGAGAGAAGAGCAUCUUCUAGUUUAUGUUUAUAGGAAUAUGAGUACCUCUUUAAGAUCUCCAGGAACUAUGCCAAAUUUGAUUAUCUUAUGUUUUAAUAAUGAUAUGAAGUCACUUAAAUCUGCUUCAAAUGGCAUCAAAAACAACUAGCAAAAGAUAAUUCAGCAAAAUUGAGAUAAUAUUAGUGAAAGAAAUGUAAAAAUGUUUUGAGAUCUGCAGAUUGGAUUAUGCCAACUAUUAUUAUUAUACUCAUAUACAGAGUUUUAACGCCUCUAGGAAACAGCCUCUUCAGUAUUUUGUAUUCUAUGUCAGCUUAAUUUUACUUAUUGCACAAUUAAAUCUCUCUUAAACAAUUCAAGGAAAAUCUUUAUUCUUUCAAUAAGGUUUAAAAGUGUAAUAAAUUGGCAGCUCUUUUUAGAAAUUCUUUUCUAAUAAAACAUUAUAAGUGGUUAGAUCAUUAAGCCUGGUUUGAAAAGCCUACAUAUACGGGAGAAAACCUACCAUAGCUGACACAAUGGAAACAUCUGCUAAACCUUCUAACACAGACUCGCAGAGAGAAGAAUAUAUUCUUUUUUGGUUUUUUAGACGGAGUUUUACUCUUGUUGCCCAGGCUGGAAUGCAAUGGUGUGAUCUUGGCUCACUGCAGCCUCCACCUCCUGGGUUCAAGCUAUUCUCCUGCCUCUGCCUCCCGAGUAGCUGGGAUAACAGGGGCCCGCCACCAUGCCUAUCUAAAUUUUUUUGUAUUUUUAGUAGAGACGGGAUUUUAUCAUGUUGACCAGGCUGGUCUUCAACUUCUGACCUCAGGUGAUCCAUCCGCCUUGGCCUCCCAAAGUACUGGGAUUAUAGGUGUGAGCCAGCACACCCUACCAAGAGGAAUAUAUUUUUUUAAAUAGAAACCAAAUGGCCAAGACUGAAUGCAUGGUCCUUAAGGGACAGUGCAUAUUUCCUAUCUGCAAAGGUCACCUGGCCUUUGAGCAUGCAGCAAGCAAUGAAAAUGCCUCAGAGCUAAACCCAGCAGGACUGCUCUGUUAACAAGGACUCACCCUAGUAUGAAGUCAUCUCUUUUCCUAGGGUAGUAGACGAUUCUAUCGCUACUAAUAUUUGAACCAUAAUUAAAUGGAAAAAUUCAUCACUAGAUUUAUUAGAGAAUUGGACAAUAAUACAAUGAAUGGAAUUCCACAUUGGCAAAAUAAUCAAAUAGAUAUGUCAAUAUGUUACUCAGGAUAGUAACUUAGAGUCAAGAAAGACUUUCUGCAAUGGUUCAGAAGCAAUUUGUAUACACAGAGUGUAGUCCUGAGACAGAAAAGCCAUGAAAGAAGCUCAUGAAGUGGCAGAUAUCCUGUAGGAAUGUUCAUUUCUUUUUACACACACUUCAGAUUUACUUUGCUUGUAGCUCGAACUCCAUCUUUUUUAAACCGUUUCAGACCAUUGCUGGCUGAGAUCUACAUGUUCCAGUUUCUUAGUUAAUCAAUCCUUCCUGAUAAGCACUCUCUGAGUACUUUUAAGUUUGCAGAACCUUAUAUAAAAUUCCAAUUUUUUUUUUUAUGAACAUUGAGAUAAGCCUAAAAAAAUUGUCACGGUCCCCCAAAACUAAGUUCAAUUGUGCAUAUUUAGGUAAAAAGAAAAUGCUUACUUCUACCUAGGGUCAAAUCGUAGCUUUAGUCCAGAGAAAACAUUGUAGAGGAAAGA